rnacentral:rRNA from 1 species
GACGAACCGAGCGAACGUUAUUCGGAAUCACUGGGCUUAAAGGGUGCGUAGGCGUGCUCGUGAGUCAGGGGUGAAAUCCCACGGCCCAACCGUGGAAGUGCCUCUGAUACUGCGGGCCUAGAGGGGGACAGGGGCAUGCGGAACUUCCGGUGGAGCGGUGAAAUGCGUAGAUAUCGGAAGGAACACCGGUGGCGAAAGCGGGUCUCUGGGCCGAUACUGACGCUGAGGAGCGAAAGCGUGGGGAGCGAACAGG